AGUGUGGGAGAGGCAGAUUUGUGAUAAUUUUCCCAAGAAAGAGCUUCCCGACUGCAGUCAUCAUAUUUUCAAUACAACAACCACACGCUGUAAAGUUAGGUUUGGAAAGUGUAGGAUGUAUAAGCAAUAGGGUAAAUUGAGUUUGUAUACUGAAAGCAACGACAAAUCAAUGCAAUAAUCAAAAAACGAUUUUGAGCAAAACUCGGUAAACUGGUAAUGUUAUACCAAUAUUAUAGUUGUGAUUUUUCCUUUGCAACCCAGAAAUAAACCAAAAUUAAACCAAUAUAUAUUAUGUAUGUAUGAUCGUCAUUUGUAGGUUUUUUAAU